rnacentral:rRNA from 1 species
UACGGAGGAUGCAAGCGUUAUCCGGAUUUAUUGGGCGUAAAGCGUCCGCAGGUGGCUAUUCAAGUCUGCUGUCAAAGCUCGGAGCUUAACUCCGAAUCGGCGGUGGAAACUGAACAGCUAGAGUGCAGUAGGGGUAGAGGGAAUUCCCGGUGUAGCGGUGAAAUGCGUAGAGAUCGGGAAGAACAUCGGUGGCGAAAGCGCUCUGCUGGACUGCAACUGACACUCAGGGACGAAAGCUAGGGGAGCGAAUGGG